AUACAUGAAUUCAGUGCCAAAUACUACACGGUUAAAUCUGACCAAAUGUGGUCAUCCGGAGCCUGAUUCCUUCGUCAUGCUGCGCGAUAUUCGCGACCCUGGGAUGCCGUGGUUGGGGUUUGUUAUCGGCCAGACGCUUUCCUCAAUAUGGUACUGGGCUGCUGACCAGAUGAUGGUGCAGCGUGUGCUAUCCUCGAAAAUUAUAUCGGAUGCCCAAGGUGGCUGUAUUCUUGCUGGAAAUAUUUGAGAUUGCUGCCAUUGUUUAUUGUGGUCAUGCCCGGUAUGAUUAGCCGUGUGUUGUGGCCGGACGAAGUGGGAUGCAUCAAUCCAGACAUUUGUGAACGGAUUUGCGGGAAUUGUGUUGGUUGCAGUAAUACUGCAUGCCAAAACUCGUGAUGCGUCUAAUGCCGGCGGGACUGCGCGGGUUAAUGAUAGGAAGCAAUAUCCAGGCGCGAACCAGAUUCUGUGAUACAUCGCUGGUAUGUCAACAGCUGAGGAGCUCCUCUUAAAAUUCCCAAUCCGUGAAGAUAUGCCGCUCCCGUGAGCGACUUCAGUUUUAUUGCGCUUGCUGGUAAGUUCUUUGUCAAAGACUGACGCAUCCGUUCCACUUCCGGUGUAACGUUGUCUCCAAAGCACGCCAUCAAAAAAUCAGAAGAAAGUCCAAAGGCAACCUUUCCAGCGAUUUCCUUGUGCUGCUCGUUGGCCCCUUUCAGGCCAAACUGGAUCAGUAGAGCGGAGGUUUCCAGCAGUCCAGCUUCAGUGAUAUCCUGACCGAAAAGAUACUGUGUGGCGGCAGCAAACUUUGCGUACAUGAGGAGCUCCUCUUCCGGCACAAUUCCGUGCAAGCAAGGUAAACUGUAAUACAACGUGAAAGCCAUGUACAUGGAACCUUUCCACUGGCCUAUCUCAUCUAACGUUUUAGGCUUCCGUAAUGUAGACGGCGGUUGCAGUUUUUCUAGGAAAGAAUUAAUUUUUUUCCUGUUAUCUGGCGUUAACUUCCACGCUGUUCCCUUCAAGCGAUACUCCAUAAAUUUCUCCUCCAACCCUUCGAAGCACAAGUGCAUAGGCUCUACCGGCAUUUGGGCAGGUAAGUUAUAAUCUGUCAGUUUCAUCAGCUCAGACAUUCCUUGCAGUCCAAUAAACUCGUGCAGUUGAUCAGGAGCUCCUAAAACUGCUGCACGCGCACGCGCUCGCUCUUUCGUAAUCUGAGCAUCUCGAAGUUUUGGUAGACGGAAUGGCGCCUGCUUUGAAUUUACCAUUGGGUAGCAUUUUAUCGU